AACGAACGCUGGCGGCAGGCUUAACACAUGCAAGUCGAACGCCCCGCAAGGGGAGUGGCAGACGGGUGAGUAACGCGUGGGAAUCUACCCAGUUCUACGGAACAACAGUUGGAAACGACUGCUAAUACCGUAUACGCCCUAAGGGGGAAAGAUUUAUCGGAAUUGGAUGAGCCCGCGUUGGAUUAGCUAGUUGGUGGGGUAAUGGCCUACCAAGGCGACGAUCCAUAGCUGGUCUGAGAGGAUGAUCAGCCACACUGGGACUGAGACACGGCCCAGACUCCUACGGGAGGCAGCAGUGGGGAGUAUUGGACAAUGGGCGCAAGCCUGAUCCAGCCAUGCCGCGUGAGUGAUGAAGGCCUUAGGGUUGUAAAGCUCUUUCAGUAGGGAAGAUAAUGACGGUACCUACAGAAGAAGCCCCGGCUAACUUCGUGCCAGCCGCCGCUGUAAGAC
rnacentral:rRNA from 1 species